rnacentral:rRNA from 1 species
UACGAAGGGGGCUAGCGUUGCUCGGAAUCACUGGGCGUAAAGCGCACGUAGGCGGCUUGUUAAGUCAGGGGUGAAAUCCUGGAGCUCAACUCCAGAACUGCCUUUGAUACUGGCGAGCUCGAGUCCGGGAGAGGUGAGUGGAACUGCGAGUGUAGAGGUGAAAUUCGUAGAUAUUCGCAAGAACACCAGUGGCGAAGGCGGCUCACUGGUCCGGUUCUGACGCUGAGGCGCGAAAGCGUGGGGAGCAAACAGG